CGAACAUUUUGAGUCCUAAUUAUUAUGAAAACUGUGCGCUAACAAAGCCCAACGUUUGCUAAGAUAUAUUUUUAUGUUGAACAGAAUUAAUGAAUGUAUUUAGAGUCAAUCAAAUCCGACCCAUGAUAAAAAUGAAAUAUUUAGUUAUCAAUAAAUGCUCAAAAACGUGCCUUCGUAUUUAACUAGUUUCCAAGAAUACAUUUGAAAUAUUAAAUAUACCUAGUGCUUGGUUAUUUUUUGGUAUAUUUUUCUUUUUAGGUAGGUGCAACAGAUAUUCGUCAAAGUCAAUAUAUACUGGAUAAUCGAAAGUCCAGCUUUGCUGUCACAAUUGAAAUAUAAUUUUAAGUUUUUAAAGCACAAGUCACAAGCUGAAUAAAACAAACCUGUGCCAAACA